rnacentral:rRNA from 1 species
AGAGAGAGCGGCGUACGGGUGCGGAACACGUGUGCACUGCUUUAUCAGGGGGAUAGCCUUUCGAAAGGAAGAUUAAUACCCCAUAAUAUAUUUAAUGGCAUCAUUAGAUAUUGAAAACUCCGGUGGAUAGAGAUGGGCACGCGCAAGAUUAGAUAGUUGGUAGGGUAACGGCCUACCAAGUCAGUGAUCUUUAGGGGGGCCUGAGAGGGUGAUCCCCCACACUGGAACUGAGACACGGACCAGGCUCCUACGGGAGGCAGCAGUGAGGAAUAUUGGUCAAUGGGCGAGAGCCUGAACCAGCCAAAUCGCGUGAAGGAAGACUGCCUUAUGGGUUGUAAACUUCUUUUAUACAGGAAUAAAAAGGGGGACGUGUCCCUUAUUGCAUGUACUGUAUGAAUAAGCAUCGGCUAACUCCGUGCCAGCAGCCGCGGUAAUACGGAGGAUGCGAGCGUUAUCCGGAUUUAUUGGGUUUAAAGGGUGCGCAGGCGGGCUUUUAAGUCAGCGGUGAAAUCUCGGGGGCUUACUCCGAAAAUUGGCCGUUGGAAACUGGGGAGUCUUUGAGUAUGGGGAUUGAAAGUAAGGCGGAAAUUCCGGUUGUGG